rnacentral:misc_RNA from 1 species
UCCGGUUUGUCACCGGCAGUCCCAUUAGAGUGCCCAACUGAAUGUAGCAACUAAUGGCAAGGGUUGCGCUCGUUGCGGGACUUAACCCAACAUCUCACGACACGAGCUGACGACAGCCAUGCAGCACCUGUGUCCAGGUUCCCUUUCGGGCACCCCCAUAUCUCUACAGGGUUCCUGCCAUGUCAAGGGUAGGUAAGGUUUUUCGUGUUGCAUCGAAUUAAUCCACAUCAUCCACCGCUUGUACGGGUCCCCGUCAAUUCCUUUGAGUUUUAGCCUUGCGGCCGUACUCCCCAGGCGGGUCACUUAAUGCGUUAGCUACGGCACAGGAGGAGUCGACACCUCCCACACCUAGUGACCAUCGUUUACGGCGUGGACUAC